rnacentral:rRNA from 1 species
UACGUAGGGUGCGAGCGUUGUCCGGAAUUAUUGGGCGUAAAGAGCUCGUAGGCGGCUUGUCGCGUCGACCGUGAAAACUUGGGGCUCAACCCCAAGCCUGCGGUCGAUACGGGCAGGCUAGAGUUCGGUAGGGGAGAUCGGAAUUCCUGGUGUAGCGGUGGAAUGCGCAGAUAUCAGGAGGAACACCGAUGGCGAAGGCAGGUCUCUGGGCCACUACUGACGCUGAGAAGCGAAAGCAUGGGGAGCGAACAGG